UGAAGAAAGAACUUUGCUACACGCCGUCCCAUACUAUGCAGUCUUUUUCUUGACUUAAUAAUUACAGGAGCGAGUUUAUACCCACAGCAAAGCUGCUGUUUGUUCAAGUCUUCGUCAUGCAACAUAUUGGUGUACUUGGCAGGAUAAGGGUAUUGCAAAGGAGCAGAAAGCCUUUCUGGACACUGGGCUGGAGGAUGGCCAUCUUCACCAGGACACCUCGGAGAGAUAUUUGCUGAAGCCUCUUGAGGAGACCGUAACUCUUAGGUUCCAGAUAAAAAUAUUAAACUCAGAAGUGUUACCAUAAAGAAACAACAGCAGAGAACCCUGAUGGAAUUUCGAGUGAACAAAUUAGCCACGAGAUUCCAGCGCCUAACCUUGACCCACAAAAACAGGAAGUGCAAGAAGAUGACGGCAGUGCACCCAGAAAUGGUGACCAUGCAACAAAUACAGAAACUGGGGAAAGCCACUGUGACAAGCCUACGCAGACAAAAGCGUAAGAGGCUUAAGGGACCUGGGCCCCCCUGGGACACAUGCAGAGUGAGGUUGCCUGGAGUUAAAAAUUCCACAAGCCACUUCUCUGAAGCUGUGCAUCCCAUGAAGCCUGAGAUCAAAGGACAUGCCGCCCUUCCUCAGAGGCAUGGGCCAGAGGGUUGACGUAUGUUAACAACAUAUUGUGAGAGGUCUAUAUCUGCUCUGUCCUGAGGAAAGAUACAGUCAUUACUUCAUACUGAGUAAACUGAGUGAAUGCUUGUUGCUUGAAGAUACUCUUCCAUUAACUCUGUUCUCCUGUGACUACUUUCUUCUUUGUGAUCUUUAUUUAGAUACCUGCCCAGAGAUUAGUCAGUGUCUAGAAGAGAAUGUUUACUGCAGAAGUGAUUGU